UUGCUUUAGCAGUACAAGUCCUAAAAUUAGAACCACACAGAGAAGAUUAACAUGGCCCCUACACAAGGAUGACACACAAAUUCACGAAGCAUUCUAUAUUAAA
ensembl:snRNA U6 U6 spliceosomal RNA